rnacentral:rRNA from 1 species
UACGGGGGGGGCAAGCGUUGUUCGGAAUUACUGGGCGUAAAGGGCUCGUAGGCGGCCAACUAAGUCAGACGUGAAAUCCCUCGGCUUAACCGGGGAACUGCGUCUGAUACUGGAUGGCUUGAGAUUGGGAGAGGGAUGCGGAAUUCCAGGUGUAGCGGUGAAAUGCGUAGAUAUCUGGAGGAACACCGGUGGCGAAGGCGGCAUCCUGGACCAACACUGACGCUGAGGAGCGAAAGCCAGGGAAGCAAACGGG